AACGCGCUCCAUUCUUUCACCUAUUAUACAUAGCAUUCUCAGACCUAUUCAGUUGGAUUUCUCAUCUUCCACGCCCCUCCCAAUGGCGGCGCUCUGUGCAAUCUGUUCGGCUCUUCAAACUGGUCGAGUUCUCUGGUUCUCCAUAGAUUUCACUUCAUGGCGAACAAAUCCUUUUGGAUAGUUCAGAUGUGAAUCAAUGGAGGUGAUAACUCCCUUUUCAUCAACAUAAUACCCCUCCCCAUCUUACCUCACUCAAUCAGCCAAUUAUCCCCUGCUUUUCAACUCUGCAUUUCUGUUCCUUUGUCUCUUAGUAAAAAUCACACAGGAAUUCACACAAUUAACAUCUCCAGAGUGCCACCAGGUGCAAAGUUAAGCUCAUCCGCACCGAUGCCCUAUGCCCUGCAACGACAUGUUCAAAAGAUGUACUCAACAGAAUGUGAUAUGUUUCAAGAAAUGCAACGACAAUUAAUGGCGCCCGCCUAAUGGGAAGAAAACGAAUUGCAGCGAGCCAUGGAAAUGCGAUUACACUAUGCAUAGCAGAAGAAAGGGGUUUAAGUCCAAUGUAUGCCAUUCAUCCAGUGGAAGAUUGUCUACCAGGCAUUGUGAGCAAAGUGCAUUUGGAGAAGGAGACGAAUAUUGAAUCAUUGCCUUAGGAUAUCUUGCGAGCUCUGACUGUCAUGGAAAUUCGGUUGAACUAUGCACAGCAGAAGAAAGGGGUUUAAGUCCAAUGUAUGUCAUUCACCCGGUGGAAGAUUGUCCCCCAGAAUUUGUAAGCGAGGUGCAUUUAGAGGAGGAGACAUAUAUUGAAUCAUUGCCUUCGGAUAUCUUGCGAGCCAUGGAAAUGCGGUUAAACUAUGCACAGCAGAAGAAAGGGGUGGAAGAUUGUCGCCCAGGAUUUGUGAGCAAAGUGCAUUUGGAGGAGGAGACGAAUAUUGAAUCAUUGCCUUAGGAUAUCUUGGUAAGUUAAUUUUAUAGUUCUUUCUUUUUAACCUUAGCUGUUGUCCCAAUAUGAUGAGUUUCUUUAUGUAGCAGGGAAUGACUUGUAUAGCAGAGAACCCAUUGCCCAUUUAGGAUUUUAAUCGUGAAUUAAUAUGACAGAGGUUUUUUAAUUGGUGAAUUUGAGGUAAUAAAGGUUCCUCUGCCUCAUUGGAGCACAAUGGGGUUCUAACUUCUAAUCCUUAUGGAACAUUUGGCUUUAACCUGUGAGUGAAGCAAAUCUCUGUCAAGUUCAGUCUGCUAUUAGGUCUGCCAUCUCUAUCCUUCAAACACCAACAAUUCUUCAUGAGAACUUUAGUGACUAUCAUAGCACCUCACUAUUACAUAGUGCAUGAUCUUUUUAUAUUCACCAUCCUACUAUCAUGCUUCUACCAUACAUUAUUGUCAUUUAUCUCCUAAAUGUUUCCCUCUUAUCUCAGUGUUUGGGCCUUGAUACAAUUAUCAUACUAUAUUUGUGCUAUAAAUAUUAUCCACCCUUCUUAAUAGCUCAUAGAAUUUGAAGAAAGAAUAACAAGGUCUGUGAAUAAAAACUGUAAUAGAACUCUUAUCCUCGAAGUAUGCUCUGUCAUUUGUGGUUUCUUGACCCAGACUUUGUCAAAAUACUAUGCACUUGUUUUAGAAUCUCUAAUUUGCGACUUAGCUCACUGUCAAAAACCUCAACUACCAUCUAUGAUUCUGAUUGCUUUUGAUUUCUUUCUUUCUUUCCACUAACCCUUUUGUUUGUUUUAUGAUCCUUGGACCAUUAUGCACUGUUAUUUACUACUGUCAUCCACAUGGCCAUUAUUUGUGGUUUAAUUUAUCACUUUGUCAUAUACUCUGUCAAUGGCCCUGUCAAAUGCACUAAACCACCUCUACCUAUAGAGCUUUGACACAUACUUCUCAUACCUUUAUAGAAGCUUUGUUCACUAUCAUGGUUCAUUUAACAAUGUCUUCCAACCAUGCUUACCAUAUCAAUAUUCAUCAUUUUAGUGCUCACUCAGACAUAGGGGUUCUAAAGAGAAGUUUGACAAUGGUACUUGCUAUCUUUUCUUUGCCUUCUAUGCUCUUAUUGAGUAUUGAAAGCUUUGGCUUCUGCAAUACGUCUUUCAGAUGCACUCCUCAAGUCCAAGUACACUGUCACUGAUCCUUUGUCCUAAUUAACCUUUUCAAUUUUGUCGUUGUGUUGGUCAUCCUCUCUGAUUUCGAUGUAUCAUGAUGGAUAUAUAACCUCAGUCAAGACAUGCAAGUUUAGUGAAGUGAGCAUGGUAGACAAUAUAGAGGCUUCACAACAUUAUCCCCUGAAGAUCUGGCCCCGUCCCCAUCUUAUCUCACUUAAAUCAGCCAAUUAUCCCCUGCUUUUUAACUCUUGAAUUCAUCAAAUCACCUAGUUAUCCACACAGACAGACUAUAUUCGCAAAUCACCCAGGAAUUCACCCACCUAACAUGUCCACAGUGCCACGGGAUGUAAAGUUCAGCUCAUCCGCUAUGAUGCCCUAUGCCCUGCUAUUUUCAGAAGAUUCUAGGAUCCGUGUUACCAUUUCAUUAGUUUUUUAAUAUUAAAUUUAUGUUUGGUUGCAAUUGCUGAAGUUUGUGUACAAUCUGAGAACACAAGAUUCUGUUGAGCAUUUGAGACAUACUAGCUCAUCUUUGUACUCUGUAGUGAUGAUCUACAAUCUAGGACCUCUGUUACCAUUACACUAUUUUUUUAAUAUUAAAUUUAUGUCUGGUAGCAUUUGAUGAAACCUGCUGUUGUUUCUGGAUUCGAUUGUGUUCGACGUCUUUAAGCAUUUGAUGAAGUUUAUAAUGUGUGUACUGCCAAUCUCAUGGCUUAUGUAUGCGUAUAAUAUAUAUGAUAUUGUUUAUUUAUGUGAGGAAUUUCGGAAUGGUUCUUCUUUGUUCUUGACCUUGUUUGUUGUAGAGGUAAAUUGGAAAAAUUACAUGGAGUAUCCAAGUAAUUUACAAUAGCUACUUCAGACUACCAAAGGAUGUGGAGUUGAGGAAAAGGAUGUGGAGUUGGGGGAGGCGGUAUUGGUUCAGAUGUUAGGUGUGGCUGCUGCAAUGUUUCCUGAGUCCUCGUCAUCUACAAAGCAUGCACGGAACAAGUGACAGUGCUUUCCCUGAGUCCUGCCAGACCAUGACACUAUGGCAGUGGUACCAUCUGCUUGGAAGCUGCUCUUAAAUAUGGCAUCAGCAUAACUUCAGGUGUUGAAAUCAGCACAAUCCAUCAAGGUUAGCCAAUUUCUUACGCAUCUAAUAUAGGCAUAUGCCCCUAGAUUAUCAUAUUUGUUCAAGAUUUUAAUUUCUUUCCCUUAAAUAAAUCCUUGCAACCAGCUAGAAAAGUCAUUGUGAGCAAUGAAUUCUUUCUAUGAGAGAGGGGACCAACAUCUUAGCUCUUUCUAUGAAUCAGGUUUCUGGACCAUUUUUCUUGUUCAUCUGGCUUGGUUACCCUGGUAGAAAGGAAAACAAAGAGAGAGAAAAUUUGAAUUGUUUCUACUUUUUAUUUUUUUAUUAAUAAAACUUUAAUAUAAACUACGCUAGGGCACUGAUAUGUAUGAGUUAAAAAAGUUCUUUAUUUUUGAUUUUCUUUCUUCAUCCAAUACAUAGGUGAAUGAUUCUUGAUGAGAGUGGACUGAAUUUUAUUUUAUAGUUUAAUAGGAUUUAUUAUAGUUGUGGACCAGCAAAAUUUGCAAAGAUAGAAGAAUGCUUAGCCAACAUAAGAGAGGCAUAAACCAUGUUGUUGAAGGUUAAAGCUUUUAAAAUGGAAAACCGCACUGAUCGAAGUCAGAUAUGUAGAUAAUAAAAAGCAGACAUUUAACAAACACCUAUAUGAUGUGGAGCUGCUUAUGCUACAUCCAAUUUCUCAUUGCUUUUGGGGAUUACACAGUCAUAGAUAAUACCAAUUCCUGCUGAAACAACAAUAAAAUCUAUAUGUUGGAUGUGAUGGAAAAGCAACUGGUAAGGAGUUCUAUGAAUGAAAAUUUUUAUUAUUUUCUUUUUGGUUGCAAUUAUAUUGUUGUGAACAGUCUGAUUGUUGAAGUCAGAUUCAUUUCAGCAACUAAUAAAUGUUUAGAAAGUUGUGUUUACAUCAUAUUCUAUUUUCUUGACUUCUUUGUCUAU